rnacentral:rRNA from 1 species
CAGCAGCCGCGGGAAUACGGAGGAUCCAAGCGUUAUCCGGAAUCAUUGGGUUUAAAGGGUCCGUAGGCGGUCUUGUAAGUCAGUGGUGAAAGCCCAUCGCUCAACGGUGGAACGGCCAUUGAUACUGCAGGACUUGAAUUAUUGGGAAGUAACUAGAAUAUGUAGUGUAGCGGUGAAAUGCUUAGAGAUUACAUGGAAUACCAAUUGCGAAGGCAGGUUACUACCAAUUGAUUGACGCUGAUGGACGAAAGCGUGGGUAGCGAACAGGAUUAGAUACCCCCGUAGUCCCUGUCUCUUAUAA